rnacentral:rRNA from 1 species
GACGAACGCUGGCGGCGUGCUUAACACAUGCAAGUCGAACGCUGAAGCUCAGCUUUUGUUGGGUGGAUGAGUGGCGAACGGGUGAGUAACACGUGAGUAACCUGCCCCCUUCUUUGGGAUAACGCCCGGAGACGGGUGCUAAUACUGGAUAUUCACUGGUCUUCGCAUGGGGGUUGGUGGAAAGGGUUUUUCUGGUGGGGGAUGGGCUCGCGGCCUAUCAGCUUGUUGGUGGGGUGAUGGCCUACCAAGGCUUUGACGGGUAGCCGGCCUGAGAGGGUGACCGGUCACAUUGGGACUGAGAUACGGCCCAGACUCCUACGGGAGGCAGCAGUGGGGAAUAUUGCACAAUGGGCGCAAGCCUGAUGCAGCGACGCCGCGUGAGGGAUGGAGGCCUUCGGGUUGUGAACCUCUUUCGCUCAUGGUCAAGCCGCAACAAUGGUUGUGGUGAGGGUAGUGGGUAAAGAAGCGCCGGCUAACUACGUGCCAGCAGCCGCGGUAAUACGUAGGGCGCGAGCGUUGUCCGGAAUUAUUGGGCGUAAAGGGCUUGUAGGCGGUUGGUCGCGUCUGCCGUGAAAUCCUCUGGGCUUAACUGGGGGGCGUGCGGGGGGUUACGGGCUGACUUGAGUGCGGUAGGGGAGACUGGAACUCCUGGUGUAGCGGUGGAAUGCGCAGAUAUCAAGGAAGAACACCGGUGGCGAAAGGCGGGUCUCUGGGUCCGUUACUUGACGCUGAGGAGCGAAAGCGUGGGGAGCGACCGGACUAUCAUACCUCUUGUAAUUCCAAGGGGAAUUCCACGGGGAAUAUCAAUUUCAUCGAGACCCGCUAGCCGGGGGGGGGGAGGGUUUAUAUUUUUUAUUCUUUUAAUG